UACGUAGGUGACAAGCGUUGUCCGGAUUUACUGGGCGUAAAGAGCGCGCAGGCGGUCGUUCAAGUCGAGUGUGAAAGCCCCCGGCUCAACUGGGGAGGGUCAUUCGAUACUGUUCGACUUGAAGGCAGGAGAGGGCAGCAGAAUUCCCGGUGUAGUGGUGAAAUGCGUAGAUAUCGGGAGGAAUACCAGUGGCGAAGGCGGCUGCCUGGCCUGUUCUUGACGCUGAGGCGCGAAAGCUGGGGGAGCAAACGGG
rnacentral:rRNA from 1 species